rnacentral:tRNA from 1 species
GGGGCCUUAGCUCAGUUGGGAGAGCGCUUGCAUGGCAUGCAAGAAGUCGUCGGUUCGAGUCCGAUAGGCUCCA